CCUACGGGAGACAGCAGUGAGGAAUAUUGGUCAAUGGGCGCGAGCCUGAACCAGCCAGGUAGCGUGAAGGAUGACUGCCCUACGGGUUGUAAACUUCGUUUAUAAAGGAAUAAAGUGAGGCACGUGUGCCUGUUUGUAUGGACUUUAUGAAUAAGGAUCGGCUAACGCCGUGCCAGCAGCCGCGGUAAUACGGAGGAUCCGAGCGUUAUCCGGAUUUAUGGGGUUGAAAGGGAGCGUAGAGGGGUUGUUAAGUCAGUUGUGAACGUUUGCGGCUCAACCGUAAAAUUGCAAUUGAUACUGGCAGUCUUGAGUACAGUUGAGGUAGGCGGACUUCGUGGUGUAGCGGUGAAAUGCUUAGAUAUCACGAAGACCUCCGAUUGCGACGGCAGCUUACUAAACUGCCCCUGACAUUGAUGCUCGAAAGUGUGGGUAUCAAACAGGAUUAGAUACCCCGGUAGUC
rnacentral:rRNA from 1 species